rnacentral:lncRNA from 1 species
CCCAGGUGCAGCACACCAUCGCCACUCGCUACGCCGGCCGCACGCUCUGCCUCGACUUGGCCGGCUCGUGGCCUGCAUGGUCCGGCUGGAGAGCCUCUUCCAACUGUUCCGGGUCUUGGACCGGAACCGGACGGGUGUCAUCCAGCUCUCCCUGGCUGAGUGGCUGGGCUGUGUGCUGGUCUGAGCGGCGUAUUCUCCCGCCCUCCGCCCUCCCUCCUGGGUUCUCUGGAUGCUCAGCCUCGGGGCCUUUGCUGGCUUCUCCAGUGGCUCUGCCAAGUCACUGCGCCCUGGGGGCGCUGGCCUGGCUGCAGCCUUGCUGGGUGCAGCCCGAGGGGAGGACAGGCAAUUAAAGCUGUGGCUGGAGCAGUCUCGCCUCUCUCUGGGGACACGAAACACGGGCCUCACGCACUAGGAGCACGAUGCUCUUGGGAAACACGACAGGAGCCCCCAAGAUGGAAAACGGGGAUUGAUUUCCGAA